rnacentral:pre_miRNA from 1 species
CAAGUACUCCCUCCGUCCGAAAAUACUUGUCAUCAAAAUAGAUAAAAGAGGAUGUAUCUAGAUGUAUUUUAGUUCUAGAUACAUCUCUUUUUAUUCAUUUUGAUGACAAGUAUUUUCGGACGGAGGGAGUAAUUU